rnacentral:rRNA from 1 species
AGAGUUUGAUCAUGGCUCAGAUUGAACGCUGGCGGCAGGCCUAACACAUGCAAGUCGAACGGUAACAGAAAGAAAGCUUGCUUCUUUGCUGACGAGUGGCGGACGGGUGGAGUAAAUGUCUGGGAAACGUGCCUGAUGGAGGGGGGAGUAACUACUGGAAACGGUAAGCUAAUACCGCAUAACGUCGCAAGACCAAAGAAGGGGGACCGUCGGGCCUCUUGCCAUCGGAUUGCCCAGAUGGGAUUAGCUAGUUGGUGAGGUAACGGCCCACCAAGGCGACGAUCCGUAGCCGGACUGAGAGGAUGACCGGCCACAUUGGAACUGAGACACGGCCCAGACUCCUACGGGAGGCAGCAGUGGGGAAUAUUGCACAAUGGGCGAAACCCUGAUGCAGCGACGCCGCGUGGAGGAAGAAGGUCUUCGGAUUGUAAACUCCUGUUGUUGAGGAAGAUAAUGACGGUACUCAACAAGGAAGUGACGGCUAACUACGUGCCAGCAGCCGCGGUAAAACGUAGGUCACAAGCGUUGUCCGGAAUUACUGGGUGUAAAGGGAGCGCAGGCGGGAAGACAAGUUGGAAGUGAAAUCCAUGGGCUCAACCCAUGAACUGCUUUCAAAACUGUUUUUCUUGAGUAGUGCAGAGGUAGGCGGAAUUCCCGGUGUAGCGGUGGAAUGCGUAGAUAUCGGGAGGAACACCAGUGGCGAAGGCGGCCUACUGGGCACCAACUGACGCUGAGGCUCGAAAGUGUGGGUAGCAAACAGGAUUAGAUACCCUGGUAGUCCACACCGUAAACGAUGAUUACUAGGUGUUGGAGGAUUGACCCCUUCAGUGCCGCAGUUAACACAAUAAGUAAUCCACCUGGGGAGUACGACCGCAAGGUUGAAACUCAAAGGAAUUGACGGGGGCCCGGCACAAGCAGUGGAGUAUGUGGUUUAAUUCGACGCAACGCGAAGAACCUUACCA